rnacentral:piRNA from 1 species
UCUCGAGCGCUAAGACAGGACCAGAAGU